AACUACUGCUGUCCACUUCAUAUGUAUAUACUGUAUUCUAGUCCUGGUUCAUCCUAUAUAACUACUGCUGUCCACUUCAUAUGUAUAUACUGUAUUCUAGUUCAUCCUAUAUACCUACUGCUGUCCACUUCUCUAUUCAUAUAAAGUCCAUUUUGUCUAUACACACCAUCAUAUACAUAUGUAAUAUGGGGGGUGUGCGUGUAUUGUUUUGUUUUGUUAGGUGUUACUGCACUGUUGAAUUUUGCAACACCCACGAAAACUUUUGCAAAAUAUGUGUACGUGACAAAUAUCAUUUGAUUUUAAUUUUGACAUAUACUCAAUAAAUAUAUUUUUCUGUACUGGCUCAAUGGGAACCAGCUGGUUUCCUUGGUUACAUUUCAACCUUCCAGAAUGAGUGACAACGAUUCUGCUUGAAACUAAAAAACAUUAUUGAAAUACAAAGAAUAUAUCACGUCAUAUUCAACCUUACAUUGAUAUCGAGGUAUCUAUUUUUUUUAUUUUUUUUAUUAUGUCCUGAAAAUGUAUUUAUUUAUUUAUAUAUAAUAUAUUUAUAGUGUCCACAUUAAGUUUUCGACGCACCUUCCGUCCCGACAGUGGCGCUGUUUGAGGAAGUGCUUCUAACGUGUUUUAUAUUUAGACAACCUCACAUCCGGUGGAGUUUCGACCAAUGAGAAAGCGUCGUGUCGUUUGAACCGGGGGAGCGGGACUCUAUCCUGAGCUGUUGUUGAAAACGGAAUAAAGACAUAUUUCAUCCCGUAACUAAAUGAAUUAAUUUUUAGCUUUAAAUCAAAAAAUAAAAAGGUGUGAUAACGGAUAGAGACGGUUACCACGGUAAUGUUUGAGUUCGUCGGUUCCCGAUCUUCUUGUUGGUGAAACGGACCCUGCAAAAAAAAGAGUAAAGAUGAACCGAGCAGGCCGACCGUUGUUCAUGAAGACCUACGGCAAACAGAACCGGAAGUUGGAGGCCUGGAUCUCCCUGACAACCGAAAACAGGUUUUCGCCAGCACCUCUUCCUCUGACCUGUCCAUCGUUGAGCCCUCCAGCCCCAAACCCCCGGCCAAGAGAGGGAGAAAGAGAAGCACAGCAGAUGGCAGGAGAGCGCUG